ACAACUGGAAACACUGCUCUGGGGAAGCCAGUUUCUGAGCGUCGGCCGGAUGAAAAAUUCCACUCAAUAUCGUCAAUGCCAAUUUAUGGAGACAGAUCUCACGAGGAAAUGAGAUGGCAGAAUUAUCAAUUGGGGGAUAAAGGUGGACCGGCUCUUGGUGGUGUGACUCACUUUACCUUGCUUACCAAGAAACCUGCACCGACAUUUGCUCAAACAUCUUUGAGUCUGUCCAAUACCUCUACUGUAUCUAAUAUAUCUGCUCCACAAAAUCCAUCCAUUACUGCUGCGGUCUUUGGAGCCUCAUCUACACCCAAUCUUUAUGCAUCUUCAUCAUCAACUGGACCCGCAUCUACAUUUGCAUUUCCUUCUCCAGCUCCAGCAACAACUUCGACAUGUAAUCAUGGCCUAUUCGGUUGCACGCCGUCUGUUGCACAAACAGGUACUCCUAAUGCCGUACAAACUACGACUUCCUCUAGUGGGUCUACAACACCCCUUCCACUAGAGGUUAGUGCCACAUACAAACAGCUGUAUCAAUUUUUUCUUCAAUCGAAGGUUUUUAUUUUACUCCCUAAAGAUUCAUGGAGGCAUUAUACAUCUGUGCAGUAAAAAUUCCUCAAUACGCCCGUCUUGCCCUAAGUUUGAUAGGUUUUUGAUCCCGUCCUCAUUAUCUUAGCAUCAAUCUAACUUAGUUUUCGUGUUAUAAUUUCUAUUGAGUGAUAGUUCAGUGUGUUAAACCUCACAUUAACGAAAAUGGGAUGUUACUGAAUGUGGAAUUCACUUUGUCGUUGUUUUCUGCCAGGAAAUGAGGAGGCUGCAGGUGAUCAUUGAAAGAAAUUCAAGCAUGCAUAGUAGUGAGGAAAAUGAUCGAAAGGGUUCUUCGUCUUCCUUUUCAUGGUGAAAGGCGCGCAGGCAAAGCAAGCAAACGAGGAUUGAAUUCGAAGAAGAAACAAGUCUUUUUCUUUCAAUACAAUUUCUGUUCAGGUUGUUAUGAGCUUUGACAUAAUAAAAAAUCAUUGAAAAGAAAUAAAGUUCUGGCAACCAAG